GGGAGCUGCUCCUCUGCUGCUGGCCUCCAUUAUACUGUGUGUGAAAUGGUGCAGGAGACCAGGGUCGUCUAAUGAAGCAGCUGUCAAAUACACUGAAGAGAAUGUGGAAGUUGACUUAUAAAACCUUCACACAGAAGCUGGAUCAGAGUGCUCAUGUGGAAUGAAGAACAUUUGAGAGCUCAGGAUUAUUUUUCAAUGUGAUGCUUCUCAGCUUGCAGGAGGGGAAAUCCAGGUUGGGGUGCAGUUAUGGGGACACUCAGUGAGUUUUGGGAAUGAAGCAGUCGUGCCUUUAGGGUGCAGGAUCUGUAUAAUAUAUCUGAGGUUCUGAUUCACCAGAGCUGCACUUGCGAUCUUUGUCUAAGUUAGUCAGCUUUGAUUGCUGUAUGUUUGUUUCAGGGUCCUUUGGGUCCUACGUUGAACUUUAUAUAUUAUGUAGUAAACUCAUCGCAAGCUUACAUACAGCCUAAACAGCGGAGACUCUGCAACAUGUUCAACAUGCAUUUCAUGUGUCUGCUUGUAUUAGUAUUAAAUUAAAUGGACUUUAAAGUGUGUUCUUUUUUGUUCCUUUUUUAUUUUGUUAACAUAUGAAAUAAAUGAAAAAAAUAACGUAUGUGUAAUGUAACAUCCCCAGUAGGUCAGUUAUACCACCUUCCACUGUGGUGAACAACACAAUCUAAUCCAAGUGUGAGGAGGAGAAACCGAACAGGAAUGCUGAGCUGAAUGUGGACAGAGAAGCUGAGGGCUCGAUUGUUUUUAUUAUAUUAUUUUUAUAUAAUUACUGUUAAUACUACUACUGUAAUAACAAUGUUACCAGUCAUAACUUUCUUGUCUUCAUUCUUCAUGGUGAUGAAUUGUGACAAAUAAAUAUUAAUAAAUAAGUAGGCUAAAGCUGG